GGGGUUUUAACCACCAUGUACGUCACGCGUGUUUAAAGCAUGUCAAGUUUUAGCCCGUUCGGCUUAUUUACCUGUUGCAGGUACGGCCCUACGUUGCCGUUCAUGUUUUGAGCAGUUUCGAGGCUACCGACGGCUACGCGUUCGAUGCAUAACGAUUGCACCUGAUAUUUUUAACGAUUAAGUGCUCAUUGGAGCACCAAGUCAGCUUUUUACCUGCAGCGAGACCGGUCCAAAAACGUACAAUGUUGUU
rnacentral:lncRNA from 1 species